AUACGUAGGGUGCAAGCGUUAAUCGGAAUUAUUGGGCGUAAAGCGCGCGCAGGUGGUUCCUUAAGUCUGAUGUGAAAGCCCCCGGCUCAACCGGGGAGGGUCAUUGGAAACUGGGGAACUUGAGUGCAGAAGAGGAUAGUGGAAUUCCAAGUGUAGCGGUGAAAUGCGUAGAGAUUUGGAGGAACACCAGUGGCGAAGGCGACUGUCUGGUCUGUAACUGACACUGAGGCGCGAAAGCGUGGGGAGCAAACAGGAUUAGAUACCCUGGUAGUCCACGCCGUAAACGAUGAGUGCUAAGUGUUGGGGGGUUUCCGCCCCUCAGUGCUGCAGCUAACGCAUUAAGCACUCCGCCUGGGGAGUACGGUCGCAAGACUGAAACUCAAAUGAAUUGGCGGGG
rnacentral:rRNA from 1 species